CUACGGGGGGCUCCAGUGGGGAAUCUUGGACAAUGGGCGCAAGCCUGAUCCAGCCAUGCCGCGUGAGUGAAGAAGGCCUUAGGGUCGUAAAGCUCUUUCGCCAGAGAUGAUAAUGACAGUAUCUGGUAAAGAAACCCCGGCUAACUCCGUGCCAGCAGCCGCGGUAAUACGGAGGGGGUUAGCGUUGUUCGGAAUUACUGGGCGUAAAGCGCGCGUAGGCGGAUUAGUCAGUCAGAGGUGAAAUCCCAGGGCUCAACCCUGGAACUGCCUUUGAUACUGCUAGUCUUGAGUUCGAGAGAGGUGAGUGGAAUUCCGAGUGUAGAGGUGAAAUUCGUAGAUAUUCGGAGGAACACCAGUGGCGAAGGCGGCUCACUGGCUCGAUACUGACGCUGAGGUGCGAAAGUGUGGGGAGCAAACAGGAUUAGAUACCCGCGUAGUC
rnacentral:rRNA from 1 species